GGUGCUGCAUGGCUGUCGUCAGCUCGUGUCGUGAGAUGUUGGUUAAGUCCCGCAACGAGCGCAACCCUUGUCAUUAGUUGCUACAUUCAGUUGGGCACUCUAAUGAGACUGCCGGUGGACAAACCGGAGGAAGUGGGGAUGACGUCAAGUCCUCAUGGCCCUUAUAGGUGGGGCUACACACGUCAUACAAUGGAUGGUACAAAGGGUCGCCAACCCGCGAGGGGGAGCCAAUCCCAUAAAGCCAUUCGUAGUCCGGAUCGCAGUCUGCAACUCGACUGCGUGAAGUCGGAAUCGCUAGUAAUCGUGGAUCAGAAUGUCACGGUGAAUACGUUCCCGGGUCCUU
rnacentral:rRNA from 1 species